AUUGCGUCUCAUUUAUCACGCAAACCAAAACCAAAAUUGCGUUGAUAUAACGACGCAUUCUCUUUUAUGUCACACAUGCGCAGUAGCCAGCACUAUCUUUUAAGGCCAGGAGGCUUUAUUGUUAGCCUAUUUAUAACAAAAACAAAACGAUAUUCACGUUGCUUAACGUAACGACUCAUUAUAAAUAUGCUGUUAAGUCCCCACAAACUAAUACUGAGCUCUUUUGGGCUGUUAAAGUCAAGUUUUGAUUUUAGCAAGUCUUUUUCUGUUUGAUUGAAUUAAAACGAACCCUUUAAACAUUGACAUAAAUUUGUCCAGAGCGUGAUUUGCGCACAACAACCUCUAGGCCUACAACGUUUUGAAUAGUUUCAAAUAUUUCAUUCAUAAAUCCCCAGACCCCUUCCCUCUGCUACUACACCAAUGAUGUCAUUUUAUUGCGACCACUCUCUGGAUUGUGGAUUUUACGGACUGCAUUCCCAUGUACUGGGUUUAGCUGGACCGUAUUGGACUGGAGGUGACAGGAUAUUUUGUACCUGCUUCGGACUGGUUCUGUCAUUAACCUACUGAGCUGGUGCUUCUGUCCCAGGUAAAAUGUGUUUGAACUUACAUUUGCAUCUAUACAUGAAGUAGGCAGCCUAGAGCAGGAGGCAGGCGUCAGAUCAGAGGGUUGCAGGCAUCUCCAUCGCAUCGCUCCUAGGCAUCUGAAAGUGUACCGUUGCGCACAGAUCAUGCUGGUAACGAGUUAUUCAAAGGGUCUACCAAUCAUGGCAAAAACAGAAAUCCAGCUCCUCAGCCCAGGCAGUGCCAACAACCCAGCUGAUCCAGGAGCUGCAGCGAGGGGUAGUGAUGACACUCCGGGCACCCCGACUGCCCUCUUCAACCAUUCCCAUGGAAUUCAUCCUGUCCAGCCUCCGUCAGAUAAUCCAGCCCUCCCCCUCCUACUUCCAGAGACUAAUUUGCAGAUUCUAAUGGGUAUGUGCUAAGGAGAUGAUGAGUGAACACGCUGCCAGUUUGGUUGCAGUGUGUCACCGAAUUCCGUAGAUUCAUCAUCACUAUGUGGGGUGGAAGCUGCACAGACUACAACAAGGCUUCUGGGACCCCACUCCCCUCAAGCAAGACAUUUACCACCUGCUUCACCUAUGAAGGACUGAUUAUUGGCAGUGAUACCACAACGCAUACAAGCUGUUCAGCCUGCUGCCCUCUGGGUAGAGGUACAGGAGUAUCUGCUUCCGCAACUCCAGACUCGCCAACAUCUUCAUCUACCAGACUGUCAUGCCGAAUCGUCCCUCCUCUCUCCCAUCCCAGGAUGCCGAAUUAUGACCAAGUGACUGAAGAACUGCCAUACGUCUUCACUUGGUCAUGGCAUGACCAGAGGCUGUAUGCAGACUCACAGUAUAAUUCUACACGAUCCACUAUAAGUCAUAUUUUAUUUCAGGUGUUUUGAAUAGCUGUGAUACAUUAAUGAUGCCUGCCAACGAUUCUGAAUUGUGUACAGUCUGUAAUAUUUCUUCUUCAAGGGACCAGUCAAGUCGAUGUGACAGGUGAUUUUUAUACAAAACUUUGUCAAAGUUUACGUAAUUGACACAUCUGGUUGGUCCUUGUUUUGAAUUCUGAAUUGUCAAUAUACUAUAUGCCUUUAUCAGGUUUGAGCUUGGAGUUGAGUAUAUGUUAAAUUAAUAGAAUGUGUUUUUUGCUAGUCUUCACAUUAAACUUAGACCGAACUGCCUUUACCUUUGGAUCGUCUGCAGUUCCCUGUUGGCCCACUACCAUCUGCCCCGCAUGGUGCGCGACACCAGACACUGGAGCAGCUGGGUCGCCACUCAUCAACACAGAGUGAAACAGUGCUUUGACCGCUCCCACAGGGUUAAAAGCCCCACACUUGCUCCACUGGACUGAUUGAGGAUCCGCAGGCCUACCCGGGGCCACAAGCUCAAGUCAUUCUGUUCUGCCCCACUGCAAGUGACUGAGCAGCUGGGUCCCGCCAUUUUCCGCCGUGUUCGCAAGGUGCCGCCGCCUACUGCAACAGACCUGGAGGCGACCGGCCCGUACGAGGGCCCAUCCAGGCCAUCUCAGAGACUAUGUACUCUGACAAUAUGAAUGAUGUUCCUGGGUCUCCCCUGGGGAGCCCUGGGGAGGGGGGAAAUGUUAUGUCUGCUCUGUUGCCUGUGCUGAUAUUUCAUAUUUCCUGAUGCUACUUGAAGACGACAUAAUAACAUUUGUGCAGGGCAUGCUGGGAUGCGAGUUCAGUGAAAUAAACGUCUGGUAUGGCUAGACUUUGA